UAUUUGCAUUUCCUCCUCACGGCAGUGUUGUGAGAAAAGCUCUUUGGAAAUCUCAAAAGUGCUACGGAAAUGUAACAGGAAAUGAACACUACUAAGUUUUUGAACUGAUGAGGAAUCCUAUAAUCUGGUGGAAUUGGGAAUAUGCUGCCAAAUUCUGCCACCAGAGGUCGCCCGCACACAGCAACCCGUGAGCAGGACAAUUGGCAGAGAGAAGAAAAAGUAUAAGAAAGGAUGGAAGGAAAUAAGCAAUAAACGGUCAUAACAAUGAAGGUGAAUUGGAUGCACUCAACCAUGAAGCAGAAGAGAAUAGCAGAAUGUAUUAGGCAGCAGAAUCCAGCGAUUCAUUGUUUACAAGACUUGUGAAGCAUUUUGCAGGCAUUAUGCCAUUUAUUCUUCACCCCAGCCCUCUGAGAGAGCUGCUUGCAGGAUGAUCCAGAGAUGUCCACAGGAGCACAGAUCAGCAACCUCCAGCUUCUUUGACAGCUGCCAACCCCCAAGUGAGUCCAAAAGUCUCCUCAACAGUUUGGAACCUUUCCCCUGCCAGCUCUGGGUAUUCUCUGCCUAUCAAUAAUUCUUAUGCACUAAGCAUUACAUUGCAACAGACUGCACUUGUCAGGUCUUGGACCCUGACAUUGUAUUUUUCUAAUAAACAUCAGUUUUGUUCAGAUAAUUAUUUC